rfam:Leishmania major strain Friedlin complete genome, chromosome 33
GCAUUGCUAGCUGAGUCGGUGGGGCGUAUGGCUCUUAAGCGUGUGGCUGUGGGUUCGAUCCCCAUGGAGUGCG